AAAUGAACAACAUAAUUUCAGCAAGCUUAUAGAGAAGGGCACUCAACAUUUAUUGCACUGACACAAAUGUCUGAAGAUUGGUUGAAGGAAAUUGACAAUAAGAAGAUUGUGGGAGCUAUACUGUUUGAUUUUUUUUCAGCCUAGCUUGGAAUCCCCCUUUCCUUCCUUCUUCUUCGUUGCCAUUGGUUAUCUUGGUCAGCAGAAACAGGUCUGUCCCUCAUCAUGUGGAAUGGUGUCUAUACACAAGAGAAGAUCAUCAUCCAGUGGACUCUGCUCAGUGAAGCAUGCUACUUUGCCAUCCAGUUUUUAGUGACGUCAGUCACUCUAGUGGAGAUAGGCUCGUUGCCCAACGCUGCAAUCCUCCUCCUCCUCAGCCGAGUAAUCUUCCUCCUGGUCACUCUGCUCUACUACUACCACCUGGGCAGAGGACGACCCAAGAAGAUAUGAUGGCGAGGGGACAGUUGCUUCCAGAUGUGGGCUCAGAGGGAGGUGGGGUGUAUUGAGGGAGGCAGGUAGCCUAGUGGUUAGAGCGUUGGGCCAGUAAAGGUUGCUAGAUCGAAUCCCCGAGCUGACAAGGU